UAUUGGCCAAUGGGCCCAAGCCUGAUCCAGCCAUGCCGCGUGCAGGAUGACGGUCCUAUGGAUUGUAAACUGCUUUUAUACAGGAAGAAACACCCCGACGUGUCGGGGCUUGACGGUACUGUAAGAAUAAGGAUCGGCUAACUCCGUGCCAGCAGCCGCGGUAAUACGGAGGAUCCAAGCGUUAUCCGGAAUCAUUGGGUUUAAAGGGUCCGUAGGCGGUCAGAUAAGUCAGUGGUGAAAGCCCAUCGCUCAACGGUGGAACGGCCAUUGAUACUGUCUGACUUGAAUUAUUAGGAAGUAACUAGAAUAUGUAGUGUAGCGGUGAAAUGCUUAGAGAUUACAUGGAAUACCAAUUGCGAAGGCAGGUUACUACUAAUAUAUUGACGCUGAGGACGAAA
rnacentral:rRNA from 1 species